UAGCAUAUCAAUAAGCGGAGGAAAAGAAACCAACAGGGAUUGCCCCAGUAACGGCGAGUGAAGCGGCAACAGCUCAAAUUUGAAAUCUGGCUCUCGGGCCCGAGUUGUAAUUUGUAGAGGAUGCUUUUGGUGAGGUGCCUUCCGAGUUCCCUGGAACGGGACGCCAUAGAGGGUGAGAGCCCCGUCUGGUUGGACGCCGAACCUCUGUAAAGCUCCUUCGACGAGUCGAGUAGUUUGGGAAUGCUGCUCUAAAUGGGAGGUAUAUGUCUUCUAAAGCUAAAUACCGGCCAGAGACCGAUAGCGCACAAGUAGAGUGAUCGAAAGAUGAAAAGAACUUUGAAAAGAGAGUUAAACAGUACGUGAAAUUGUUGAAAGGGAAGCGCUUGUGACCAGACUUGGGCUUGGUUGAUCAUCCGGGGUUCUCCCCGGUGCACUCUUCCGGCCCAGGCCAGCAUCAGUUCGCCCUGGGGGACAAAGGCAUCGGGAACGUGGCUCUCUCCGGGGAGUGUUAUAGCCCGUUGCGUAAUACCCUGCGGCGGACUGAGGUUCGCGCAUUCGCAAGGAUGCUGGCGUAAUGGUCAUCAGUGACCCGUCUUGAAACACGGACCAAGGAGUCGUCUUCGUAUGCGAGUGUUCGGGUGUCAAACCCCUACGCGAAAUGAAAGUGAACGCAGGUGAGAGCUUCGGCGCAUCAUCGACCGAUCCUGAUGUUAUCGGAUGGAUUUGAGUAAGAGCAUACGGGGCCGGACCCGAAAGAAGGUGAACUAUGCCUGUGUAGGGUGAAGCCAGAGGAAACUCUGGUGGAGGCUCGCAGCGGUUCUGACGUGCAAAUCGAUCGUCAAACAUGGGCAUGGGGGCGAAAGACUAAUCGAACCUUCUAGUAGCUGGUUUCCGCCGA
rnacentral:rRNA from 1 species